rnacentral:rRNA from 1 species
UACGUACUGUGCGAACGUUAUUCGGAAUCACUGGGCUUAAAGGGUGCGUAGGCGGUCAUUUAAGUAGGGUGUGAAAUACCUCGGCUCAACCGAGGAAUUGCGCUCUAAACUGGAUGGCUUGAGUGAGAUAGGGGUGUGCGGAACUUCCAGUGGAGCGGUGAAAUGUGUUGAUAUUGGAAGGAACGCCGGUGGCGAAAGCGGCACACUGGGUCUUAACUGACGCUGAGGCACGAAAGCUAGGGUAGCGAACGGG